rnacentral:lncRNA from 1 species
GGUAAAGCUGGGAAAAACCUGGGUCCUGGGGCUGCUCCUGAAUAUGCAGUUGAGUCUGAAGUUGAGGGACCUCCUAUUGGGGUCAAGCAGGCAUGGCAUCUGCCCAGUUCCUAGAUUGAUGGAAUUGCCACUAGAACCAGAAUCUUUCAAGAAGUAUGUGUUGUUGUUUUUUUGUUUUUGUUUUGUUUUGUUUUGUUUUGUUUUGUUUUUGGUACUAGGAUUGAACCCAGGGAGCUUCAUCCCUGAGCCACAUACCCAGACUUUUUUUAUUAUUUAGAGAUGGAGUUUCACCAAGUUGCCUAGAGCCUAAGUUGCUGAGAGGCUGACUUUGAACUUAAGAUCCUCCUGUGUCAACCUCCAUGGGAUUAGAGUCAUGCAUUACCACACCCAGCAAAAAGUAUAUGUUCUUACCAUGCAAAAAAACAUAAGAUCUGUAGCUUUUUUUUAAAAAAAAAUAUGUUACAUUUUUUGUACUGUGAUCAGGGAAUAUAAUCUGAAUGACAUCAAUUAUUUGGAAUUCAUGGGACCUCUUUUAUGACUUGAUAAGUGGC